UACAUAGGGGUCAAGCGUUGUCCGGAUUUAUUGGGCGUAAAGCAUCCGUAGCCGGCUCUGUAAGUUUUCGGUUAAAUCUGUACGCUCAACGUACAGGCUGCCGGGAAUACUGCAGAGCUAGGGAGUGGGAGAGGUAGACGGUACUCGGUAGGAAGGGGUAAAAUCCUUUGAUCUAUUGAUGACCACCUGUGGCGAAGGCGGUCUACCAGAACACGUCCGACGGUGAGGGAUGAAAGCUGGGGGAGCAAACCGG
rnacentral:rRNA from 1 species